rnacentral:rRNA from 1 species
GACGAACGCUGGCGGCGUGCUUAACACAUGCAAGUCGAACGGAAAGGCCCUGCUUUUGUGGGGUGCUCGAGUGGCGAACGGGUGAGUAACACGUGAGUAACCUGCCCUUGACUUUGGGAUAACUUCAGGAAACUGGGGCUAAUACCGGAUAGGAGCUCCUGCUGCAUGGUGGGGGUUGGAAAGUUUCGGCGGUUGGGGAUGGACUCGCGGCUUAUCAGCUUGUUGGUGGGGUAGUGGCUUACCAAGGCUUUGACGGGUAGCCGGCCUGAGAGGGUGACUGGCCACAUUGGGACUGAGAUACGGCCCAGACUCCUACGGGAGGCAGCAGUGGGGAAUAUUGCACAAUGGGCGGAAGCCUGAUGCAGCAACGCCGCGUGCGGGAUGACGGCCUUCGGGUUGUAAACCGCUUUCGCCUGUGACGAAGCGUGAGUGACGGUAAUGGGUAAAGAAGCACCGGCUAACUACGUGCCAGCAGCCGCGGUGAUACGUAGGGUGCGAGCGUUGUCCGGAUUUAUUGGGCGUAAAGGGCUCGUAGGUGGUUGAUCGCGUCGGAAGUGUAAUCUUGGGGCUUAACCCUGAGCGUGCUUUCGAUACGGGUUGACUUGAGGAAGGUAGGGGAGAAUGGAAUUCCUGGUGGAGCGGUGGAAUGCGCAGAUAUCAGGAGGAACACCAGUGGCGAAGGCGGUUCUCUGGGCCUUUCCUGACGCUGAGGAGCGAAAGCGUGGGGAGCGAACAGGCUUAGAUACCCUGGUAGUCCACGCUGUAAACGGUGGGUACUAGGUGUGGGGUCCAUUCCACGGGUUCCGUGCCGUAGCUAACGCUUUAAGUACCCCGCCUGGGGAGUACGGCCGCAAGGCUAAAACUCAAAGGAAUUGACGGGGCCCCGCACAAGCGGCGGAGCAUGCGGAUUAAUUCGAUGCAACGCGUAGAACCUUACCUGGGUUUGACAUGGAUCGGGAGUGCUCAGAGAUGGGUGUGCCUCUUUUGGGGUCGGUUCACAGGUGGUGCAUGGCUGUCGUCAGCUCGUGUCGUGAGAUGUUGGGUUAAGUCCCGCAACGAGCGCAACCCUUGUUCACUGUUGCCAGCACGUUAUGGUGGGGACUCAGUGGAGACCGCCGGGGUCAACUCGGAGGAAGGUGGGGAUGACGUCAAGUCGUCAUGCCCCUUAUGUCCAGGGCUUCACGCAUGCUACAAUGGCUGGUACAGAGAGUGGCGAGCCUGUGAGGGUGAGCGAAUCUCGGAAAGCCGGUCUCAGUUCGGAUUGGGGUCUGCAACUCGACCUCAUGAAGUCGGAGUCGCUAGUAAUCGCAGAUCAGCAACGCUGCGGUGAAUACGUUCCCGGG